rnacentral:rRNA from 1 species
GUGACCGUGGCGGUGUAGUUGGAAGCAGAGGUGGAGGAGAAGGAUGAGGUAGCCAACACAGUUUUUUAUGUUUUUUUUUUAUUGUGGUAGCCCACAAAAUAUUGGGACAUAUAAAAAAAAAAAAGACAACUCUGUUCCGCAGAGUAGCUGUUGACAUUAUAGUUGUGCAGGCACUUUGUUGACUCUAGAGAACCUCGGACAAAUCGCACAUCCCCGUGACGGCGACUUUGCAUUCGGAUGUCAUCUAUAUCAACUUUUGAUGACAGUUUCUGCGUAACGGGGAAUCAGGGUUCCAUUCCGUACAGGGACCCUGAGAAAUGGCUACCACAUGCAAGGAAGGCAGCAGGCGUGCAAAUGACCGACUCCCGACGCGGGAUGGUAGUGAC